AGGAAGGUGGGGAUGACGUCAAGUCAGCAUGGCCUUUAUGUCCAGGGCUACACACACGCUACAAUGGCCGGUACAGAGGGCAGCAAAGCCGCGAGGUGGAGCGAACCUCACAAAGCCGGUCUCAGUUCAGAUUGCAGGCUGCAACUCGCCUGCAUGAAGUUGGAGUUGCUAGUAACCGCAGGUCAGCAAUACUGCGGUGAAUACGUUCCCGGGUCUU
rnacentral:rRNA from 1 species